rnacentral:rRNA from 1 species
GAUGAACGCUGGCGGCGUGCCUAAUACAUGCAAGUCGAGCGAACAGAUGAGGAGCUUGCUCCUCUGACGUUAGCGGCGGACGGGUGAGUAACACGUGGAUAACCUACCUAUAAGACUGGGAUAACUUCGGGAAACCGGAGCUAAUACCGGAUAAUAUAUUGAACCGCAUGGUUCAAUAGUGAAAGACGGUUUUGCUGUCACUUAUAGAUGGAUCCGCGCCGCAUUAGCUAGUUGGUAAGUUAACGGCUUACCAAGGCAACGAUGCGUAGCCGACCUGAGAGGGUGAUCGGCCACACUGGAACUGAGACACGGUCCAGACUCCUACGGGAGGCAGCAGUAGGGAAUCUUACGCAAUGGGCGAAAGCCUGACGCAGCAACGCCGCGUGAGUGAUGAAGGUCUUCGGAUCGUAAAACUCUGUUAUUAGGGAAGAACAAAUGUGUAAGUAACUAUGCACGUCUUGACGGUACCUAAUCAGAAAGCCACGGCUAACUACGUG